rnacentral:rRNA from 1 species
CAAGCCUGAUCCAGCAAUGCCGCGUGAGUGAAGAAGGCCUUCGGGUUGUAAAGCUCUUUCAGUCGAGAAGAAAAGAUUACUGAUAAUACCAGUAAUCCAUGACGGUAUCGACAGAAGAAGCACCGGCUAACUACGUGCCAGCAGCCGCGGUAAUACGUAGGGUGCGAGCGUUAAUCGGAAUUACUGGGCGUAAAGGGUGCGCAGGCGGUUAUGUAAGUCAGAUGUGAAAUCCCCGGGCUUAACCUGGGAACUGCGUUUGAAACUACAGGACUAGAGUGUGGCAGAGGGGGGUGGAAUUCCAUGUGUAGCAGUGAAAUGCGUAGAGAUAUGGAAGAACAUCGAUGGCGAAGGCAGCCCCCUGGGUUAACACUGACGCUCAUGCACGAAAGCGUGGGGAGCAAACAGGAUUAGAUACCCUGGUAGUCCACGCCCUAAACUAUGUCAACUAGUUGUCGGGUCUUAUUAGACUUGGUAACGUAGCUAACGCGUGAAGUUGACCGCCUGGGGAGUACGGUCGCNAGAUUA